GAUGAACGCUGGCGGCGUGCCUAAUACAUGCAAGUCGAGCGAACAGAUAAGGAGCUUGCUCCUUUGACGUUAGCGGCGGUCGGGUGAGUUACACGUGGAUAACCUACCUAUAAGACUGGGAUAACUUCGGGAAACCGGAGCUAAUACCGGAUAACAUAUUGAACCGCAUGGUUCAAUAGUGAAAGGCGGCUUUGCUGUCACUUAUAGAUGGAUCCGCGCCGUAUUAGCUAGUUGGUAAGGUAACGGCUUACCAAGGCAACGAUACGUAGCCGACCUGAGAGGGUGAUCGGCCACACUGGAACUGAGACACGGUCCAGACUCCUACGGGAGGCAGCAGUAGGGAAUCUUCCGCAAUGGGCGAAAGCCUGACGGAGCAACGCCGCGUGAGUGAUGAAGGUCUUCGGAUCGUAAAACUCUGUUAUCAGGGAAGAACAAAUGUGUAAGUAACUGUGCACAUCUUGACGGUACCUGAUCAGAAAGCCACGGCUAACUACGUG
rnacentral:rRNA from 1 species